rnacentral:rRNA from 1 species
GACGAACGCUGGCGGCGUGGAUUAGGCAUGCAAGUCGAACGGUAUCAUCCUUUCGGGGGUGAGAGAGUGGCGAACUGGUGAGUAACACGUAGGUUAUCUACCCUCAAGACGGGGACAACCCAGGGAAACUUGGGCUAAUACCGGAUGUGAGCAACUUUUAGUUGUUUGAAAGGUGGCGUAAGCUGUCGCUUGGGGAUGAGCCUGCGUCCUAUUAGUUAGUUGGUGAGGUAACGGCUCACCUAGGCAAUGAUAGGUAGGCGGCCUUAACGGGUGGUCGCCCACACUGGGAUUGAGAUACGGCCCAGACUCCUACGGGAGGCAGCAGUCGAGAAUAGUCUACAAUGGUCGGAAGACUGAUAGUGCGACGCCGCGUGAACGAUGAAUCCCUUCGGGGUGUAAAGUUCUUUUAUAUGUGAGCAGUGCUUCUUAUAUUAACAGUAUGGGGAGAGAGAUAUUAGCAUAUGAAUAAGCAACGGCUAACUCCGUGCCAGCAGCCGCGGUAAUU